UAUGAUUGUAAAUUUUGAGGAAAAUAAAUAUCUUGUUGUGUUGUUACAUCAGGUAGUCAGGUAAUUAGCAACAAUUAACAACUAGGAUUGACUUUCUAUAGUUGCAACCUUUGCAACCAGGGUUAAUUUGCUGGUUGCAACAUGCUAUGGGAAAUUAAAGUUCUUAUUCUAUUUGAUUUGAGUCAAUCACCUUAUACCUGACAACUAAUGUUGAUGCUAAUAAUUGUGAUGCAUUGUUUGUAUGCAGAAAGAUUUUUGCAUAAAUGAAAAAACAAAGACCAUUCAUCCAUUCAUGCAAAAGAAAGAAUUUUGCAUGUUUGGAUAUGUUUGUGUUGAGUUUGUGUUGAAUUUUGACCAAUAAAUAUAACCUGGAAUUGGUAUUUCUUUUUUCAUUAUUCUAUUUUAGGCAACAGACAUCAAAUGAUUUACUUGCUUCUAUUGAUGUUUCAGUUUUAAUGGUAUCAAGUGUUCCACAGACAGAUAAUCAAUCAAAUGAGGCACUUUCUUUCAUAACAGGUCAUUUCUUAUGAAUGCGUAAAUUUUUUGUGGAAUAAAUUCUAUUCAAUCUAAGUUGACAAGCCUUGAACAAAGACAGGGAAGGUUGGAAGAACGCCUUUGUAAUGAUCAUGUUGAUCAGAAUAUCAGCCAAAUCCAGUUCCCAAUUUUUAGUUCUGUACUGCAAUAUUCUGAAGUUGAAAAGCACUCAAACAGUAUGCUGUCAUGGAUGAUGCUUGAAGAAGGGUUGACUGCCUAUGACCAUAUUUUAAGAGUGCUUAUUAAGUUGCUGACACAUGAUAUGCAAAAAAAUGAUCAAAAGGCACGGAAAACAUGGCAAACUUAAGUUUUUCGAUCAAUAGAAAAUCUGCUUAAAAGUGAGUGAAAUUUAGAGCUACUUCGAAUAAUUUUGAUAUAAAAAAUAAAUUGAUAUUAUAUUUUAAAUAGUCUUGUGAGUAACUGAUUCGCUGUUUGAGACAAUAAAAUGAAGUAACGAAAGUUUAAAAUCUAUUGUUAUUAACAAUAUACUUAAUUUUAUACACAUAUUUAUAUUGUCGAUGUGAUUAUAUGUAACAGUCUCUUAAAUAAAUAGUAAUUAUUAAGUGAUUAUU
rnacentral:lncRNA from 1 species